rnacentral:rRNA from 1 species
GCACAAGCGGUGGAUCAUGUUGUUUAAUUCGUACGAUACGCGAAGAACCUUACCAGGUCUUGACAUCCCCUGCAAAGCUAUGGAGACAUAGUGAGGGUUAUCAGGGAGACAGGUGGUGCAUGGUUGUCGUCAGCUCGUGUCGUGAGAUGUUGGGUUAAGUCCCGCAACGAGCGCAACCCUUAUUGCUAGUUACCAUCAUUAAGUUGGGGACUCUAGCGAGACUGCCAGUGAUAAACUGGAGGAAGGUGGGGAUGACGUCAAAUCAUCAUGCCCCUUAUGACCUGGGCUACAAACGUGAUACAAUGGCUGAAACAAAGGGCAGCGAAGGAGCGAUCCUGGAGCGAAACCCUAAAAAGCAGUCUCAGUUCGGAUUGAAGUCUGCAACUCGACUUCAUGAAGUCGGAAUCGCUAGUAAUCGCGGAUCAGAACGCCGCGGUGAAUACGUUCUCGGGGUUU